rnacentral:rRNA from 1 species
AUUGAACGCUGGCGGCAGGCCUAACACAUGCAAGUCGAGCGGAUGAAGGGAGCUUGCUCCUGGAUUCAGCGGCGGACGGGUGAGUAAUGCCUAGGAAUCUGCCUGGUAGUGGGGGAUAACGUCCGGAAACGGGCGCUAAUACCGCAUACGUCCUGAGGGAGAAAGGGGGGGAUCUUCGGACCUCACGCUAUCAGAUGAGCCUAGGUCGGAUUAGCUAGUUGGUGGGGUAAAGGCCUACCAAGGCGACGAUCCGUAACUGGUCUGAGAGGAUGAUCAGUCACACUGGAACUGAGACACGGUCCAGACUCCUACGGGAGGCAGCAGUGGGGAAUAUUGGACAAAGGGCGAAAGCCUGAUCCAGCCAUGCCGCGUGUGUGAAGAAGGUCUUCGGAUUGUAAAGCACUUUAAGUUGGGAGGAAGGGCAGUAAGUUAAUACCUUGCUGUUUCGACGUUACCAACAGAAUAAGCACCGGCUAACUUCGUG